UUCUUGAGAGAAUCCAGUUUAUAAAUGAUAGUAGAAAAAUACACAUAGUUGACGUGACCCUGCUGUAGUACUCCAUCAACAAUGAGUUUGAAAAGCAAGAGAUGAAAAUUGAAAAAUGCAAAACAAAGAUUUGUAAAUAUUGACGAAACAAAGGACACUUUAGGAAGGAUUCCAAGAACUCCCUGUACUUUCAAUACCUUCACUUUGGAGUUACCUUCAAAGAGGCUAAGAUUGUAGCUGAAAACGGUCCAGCUUCUCCCACACCUUGAGAGACUGCGUUGCUGUAAGAAAAUGAUGGACAUCAUCCACAAGCCAUAUUAACUAAAAGGACAGAUGAAGAAUUUUAAACUGAAGUCCCCA
rnacentral:lncRNA from 1 species